UUAUUAAGUUUAUUAAGUUAAAGUUUAUUAAAUUACUAAGUUUAUUAAUAAAAUCAGUUAAGUUUAUUAAACUUAAUAAACCAUUAAGUUUAUUAAGUUUAUUAAAUUAUUAAGUUUAAUAAAUUUAUUGUAUAAUAAAUUAUUAAGUUUAUUAAGUUAAAGUUUAUUAAAUUACUAAGUUUAUUAAUAACAUCAAUUAAGUUUAUAAAACUUAAUAAAUCUUUAAGUUCAUUAAGUUUAGUAAAUUAUGGAUUGACCCCAUUAACUUAGCUUAAAAUCAAUUAAACCCGAUUGUGAUGUUGCCACCAUAUUAUUAUUUACUUUGUACAUGUGAUAUGUAUUAACAUAAACAUCAUGUAGUUGUUGACACAUUUUCAUAUAUCGGAUGAUUUCCACCAUAUUAGUGUAAACUUCGUGUAGCUAGGAAAUUUUUUUCCGAAAAAAAACAGUAACCAACAUAACUAUUAUUGAAAUAUAAUUAGAUUAUUAUUCAUAUGAGGAAAUAAUUUUAGGUUUUUCACGAUUUGAUUCUUAUUUCGUUAUUUCAGUUAUCUUUUCACUUGAAAUAUUAAUAAGAUAAAUAAAGAGACAAGAAACUAACACAUAUUAGAUCAUAAAAAUACAUCAAGAAGUGUUGGGUUGUUUUUCUUACUAAACUACAUGCAUUUUGUCUUGCAAUUAUGGGUAGUACGUGUGUGUUUUCUUCUAACAUUUUCAAAAUUGUUAAAAAAUCAAAGACGAAAAUUUUUAGUGGUAGAAAAUUGUGUCAGGGUAAAUGAUUCUUUACUGGUUUUUGGAGUCUGACAAUUGAAUGAAGAAAGAGACAGAAGCAAACAACUCUAUGAUUUACACAAGUAAAAAUACCGUUUGACCCUUCACCAUAUUCCAAAUUUAAUUUGUUUUUUUUUUUCUUUUCUUUUCACCCUUUCCAAUAUUUUUCCUUUAAAAAUCUCAAGAGGUCAAAUUUCUAUUUUACCAUAUUAGUCUUGUUUAACGAAGAGCCAGAGCAUACGUUUUCUCGAAGUAAUUUAAAAGAAAACACAUGGGAUAAGAGAAUUUCAUAGAAAUCUGCGUGUUUUCAUUGGAUUUAUUAUUUGACCAACUCAUUGGUCAAUAUAAUUGAAUCUUACAUUAUUCGAGUACCUUGUUGUCCCAUUUUACAUUUAAAAGUAUUCAACGCUAAAAUACUAAAUAGUGGUGACUGGUGAUAAUGAUAUCCUUAUCGUGACAAAAAGAAAGAUAUCGUUUUGUAUCAUCAUGGCUCGUCCGAAGCCUGGUAUAUUUAUUUUCUUGUAUCUAAACCUUAAACAAUGUUUUUAUCAUGAUGUUUAUUCAUAUAUGUUCCCCCUCAGUAUCAAAUUAUAGUUAAUAGAAUGUAUUUUUUGAUCAAAAAAAAAAGUUAAUAGAAUGUAUUCUUAGAGCUUUUCGACCUUAUGAGUGUGUGUGAUUUAGCUUGUUCAAACAAUAGAAAUGUCAGGAUAAAAACAAAAAGCAAAAUAGUCCAAAGGAAAAAUACAAGUAUGUGAAGAUGAUAAGGAAGAAGAGGACAAGAGAAGAUAUGAAAGCAAAAUGUGAGUGAGGUCAUCUGACACAUAUGAAACUCAUAAAUUUGCGUACAUAUAAAGAAAUCGAGUUAAGUUUGGUUGGGGGAAAAGAUAAUUAAUUAAAACCCCAUUUCUCAUCUUAUGGACCACACUAUACUAAAGAGAUGAGUUAGAUGUAUUGCUCUCCAUGAAUGAUUUCAUGUGAUCAAAGCGUCCGUAUCUAUUAUUCAAGAUUUGCAUUAAAUAGCUUAUUUUGGUUCACUUUUUGGUUGGUAAUAUACAAUCCCACGGGUCGGAUUACGGCUUCGUGUGAUACUAGUGUGUUUCUAAAGUACUUUUAACCAUAAAAUCAAUAAACGUAAACAAACUAAAAAGACCUUCAAGAAAAUACUCCCUCAGUUUCUUAAUGUUACAUAUUCUACUUUUUUUUCACACAUUUUAAUAAAACACAUUAAAUUUGCAUAAAUUUUUGUGUUUAUCUUUGUUCUAUAAUUUUAAGCCAAUAAAAAUUCAGUAAAUGCAGUUAAGUUUUUUGAAAUUUAUAAUUAAUUAAUAAAACAUGUCUUGAAAAUAUAAAAAUAAAUCUUUUUAAAACAAUUUUUUUUCUAGAAUGUGUAAUAUUAAAGAACAGAAAGAAUAUAUCACACGGUGUUUCAAUUAAUAAAUUAUAUCGUGAACAGGGAAGGGAUGAAGAAAACGAACGAUUGAAAGCCAAAAUGAUAUUAAUAUAUAGCUUUUUCUAUUUUUUUAAACUCCAUAUUCAAAACUCUAAGAAAAUAGAACAAUUUCUCUAACUAAAAAUUUGCAUGGUUGUGUGUGUUAUUUUUUUUAACCGUGUUGGAAUUCAGGACUACGUCAGAAACUACAUCAACGAAUCCGUUAUGAAAUUCGUUAGGAUUUGAUGAUGGAAAUCAAACAAAAUCGCAUAACUUAAACCAAGACAAACGUCAUAUUUGAAAAAUGAAGUAUCACUUUUAUGGAGUUAUGAAAAUUGAUAAGUUCUUGGAAAUAUUAAUUUUAUGGUUUAUGGAAGUUACAAGUAUUUUGGAAUAUUUCUUAAUAGGUUUAUGGAAAUGGGCGAAUGUCAUAAUCCAACUAGGUUAAUGUAAUUGACUCCCCACUAUAUAAGGGGAGUCCGUGUGUUCUCUUCUCCUUUGUCCAAAAAAAAGAUCGAGCUUGGUUUGUAAGCUUUGGUUGUGAGAGAGAGAGGUUAUAUAUCUUUGUUCUUAAGAUUAUAGUGGAUUUCUUCUUGCCAGGCCCCAGAGACGUAGCCAUUGUAGUUAAACUCUGGGUAAAUAAUUUCUUGUCUCCUUCUUCUAUCUUUUCUCUCUUCUUUUUUGUUUUCCAUAAUUUUGCAAACUCAUACUUUCUUACUUACGUAGUCGAGUUCGUCAGAGAGUGUAUCAGCGAUUUUGUGUGUUUGAUUAUGGUUUAAUGUCAAACUGUUUUUGCCAUGGUGGUUUCAAAAAACGACAAAUUAUAAUUUUAUUAAAAUGAUAAUAAGGUAUCUGAAUACAAAGUAUGGAUCAACCAACCAGGAGGAUGAAUGUUACAAUUUGGAAACUUUUAGUUUGAGGUCCUUUCCGAGCCAACGGAUGAGCUGCUUGAUUAACUUGGCGUUAAAAAACCGGCGGAAGUCUUUUUCUCCAGCCAUUCAAGUCUUGUAACAGUUUCCAAACUUGAUUUUGCUUCGCCUAGGACCGCCGAACCCCACAUUGUAGCAUUUCCAAGGAAAUCCCGAACAAUCCAAGCUCCUUGUACAUGUCUUGUUGUUAUAUCAAACAACACAUCAAAAUUACAUUUAAAAGAACCAACCGAAGGACUUUGCGACAAAAAUAUAUUUGUUGCUCCAGAAAGUAAAGGGUGUGAAAAUAAAGAUCCAUGGUUCUGAUUGACAUUCGUUAUCCACUCGUGUACAUCAACAAUAGCAUCGUCCAUCGUAUCAGUAUUCCAAAUCGUCUUUCUUGGAAUAAUAAAGAAUUUUGUGAUUUCCAAAUUUGCCAAAGGAGUCCAAAAGGUAACAAUUUUUUUUAUGUAAGAGCAUUUUCAAUCUACAUUUCUAUAUCUUCUUUUUGCAACAAACGGCUAUUCUAUUACUCAAACUUGAAGUGGUCUGGAUAACCAGACUGGAAUAGAACAACCAACAUAACACAAAGAUCUAUGAAAAAGGGCAUUUCUAGCUAGCGAGUCAGCAAUUCCAUUUUGCACCCUUGGAAAGUAUUGAAUUUUGAAGUCCGGAAAACACAUCUUGAAAUUUUGAAUGACCUCCAUUUUAGUUAAGAAGUUUGGUCAUGCUUGUGGAUCAUUCACCAUUGCAAUCAGGUCCUUGCUAUAUGUUCCAAAUUUCUGACAUGUCGAGUGUUGUAGCAUGCUCUUCAUUGCCCAUCUUAAUGCUUCCAGUUUAGAGUGAAGUGACGUCUCGCGCCUCCUUAAGUUCCUUGUCUCCAUUAGUUGUAUCUUCUCUCUGUCAUCCCUUCAUACCCAUCCAAUUCAACUGAAUUGAUCCGUAGAGGUCCAUAAACCAUCCACCAUACAAAUGUUCUCCAAGCUUAAGGCUUGUGUUUUUCUUCAACCAUUUGUGUCUAUGGAGGAGCAGGUAUAGAUUCCUUCGCACUAUACCAUGCCUGGCACUCACUCUCUGCGUAUCUGACUAACUCCAGGGGGUCCUUAUCUAUACCUCUGAACAGCUUAUCGUUCCUUGCUUUCCAGAUGUACCAAAUUAUCCAAGGAUAUGGAUCUUUAUCAUCUUGUCGUUCCAAAAUACUAUUCUUCCUCCAAAAAAGAUAAUCCAUGUUGGUGUAGAUACUCGCAGUACGGAAAGUCUGAGAGCUUGACGAUGUUGAUGACAGUUCCCAUGCUUGUACUGUCGGUAGGCAUUCAAAGAUUGCAUGAGUAGCCGUCUCUUCCGGCUCUCCACAUCUUGGACAGUAGUUAUCACAUCGCAUAUUGCGACGUACCAGAUUUCUUGUGACAGCUACCUGCCCAAAAAUAAGCUGCCAUAUAAGAUGACAAAUCUUUUGUGGUGCAUUGACUUUCCAAGCAAAGGCUUGAAGUUUGGUUAUGUUGGGUUCAAUAACUUAUUUUUCCUCCACACUCUCAGAAUAUUUGUAGCUACCCAAUAUCCUGAUUUUACAGUGUAUUGUCCAUUUUUGGUGUAGCUCCAGCAAAAAGUAUCGCGUCGAUGAGUAGGGCUUAUGGCCAAACUCUGAAUGAUAGAUAUAUCCUCUUGUUCUACAUACUAUUCCAGUAUACGAGUAUCCCACUCCUUUGAUUCAAAAUCAAUAAGAUUACUGACUAACAUCUUUGGAUUAACUACUGGGGCUCUUGGGCGCGCCGGUCUUGCUGGAAUCGAAAGAAUCUAUGGAUUUUGCCAAACAUUAAUUUCAUAUCCUGAGUGCACUUUACUCAUGAUGCCCAAGAGUAAAAGUUCCCUUGCAGCUAUGAUACGCGUCCACACAUACGAUGGGCUAUCCACUGCACCGAUUCGCAAAGGCGAACUCAAUCGAUAGUAUUUUCCCCGAAGAACUUUUGCCACUAGUGAAUCUGGGAAUUGUACAAGACGCCAAAGCUGUUUCGCCAGAAGAGCAAGGUUAAAUUCGUGAAUCAUGUAAAAACCAAUACCUCCAUCCUCUCUAGAGCACACAUCUUCUCCCAUUUGGCCCAGUGGAUCCCACGCUUUGGUGGGUUUGAACUCCACCAGAAUUGUGCAAUGGCACUCACAUGGUUCUCACAUAUUUCCAAAGGGAGCAGGAAACUGGACAUGAUAUAUGUAGGAAGAGCUAACAGGAUAGAUUUUAUUAGAACUUCUUUUCCACCUUUCGAUAGCCAUCUACCUGUCCAUCCAUUCACUCUGUGUAGUAGUUUGUCUUUCAAGAACGCAAAUAGUCUACACUUGGAUCCACUAAUAUCUUCUGGAAUUCCUAAGUAGGAUCCCAUCCCCCCUUCAUUUUGGAUACCAAGUGUAUCUUUAAUCAGCUGUCGAUCAUUUGCAGGAAUCCUCUUACCAAAGAGUAAUGAAGAUUUAUCAAUCUUAAUGCAUUGUCCUGAUGCUUUCCCAUAUUUCGUGACUACUUUCAUAACUUCUUCACAUUCACGGGGUUCCGCCUUACAAAAGAAAAGGCUAUCAUCGGCAAAGAGAAGUUGUGAUACCAAGGGGCUAGCGCGUGCGACUCGCAUCCCCGUUAUCUUCUCUUGAUUCUCUGCAUGAUUAAGAAGGCUAACGAGCGCUUUUGUGCAUAGAAUAAAUAUGAAAUGAGACAGAGGAUCUCCUUGACGUAAACCUCUACCGGGAACAAUAUUUCUCCUUGGCUCUCCAUUCAUGAGUACUUUAUACAUUUCUAUAUUUUAGAGCAUUUCAAUCUACAUUUUUAUAUUUUCCUUUAAAAUCGAUAUCUAUAUUAUAGAAGUGAUUUUUCUCGAAUGUAAGAUUCUAUUAUAGAAUUCUUCUAUUUUAGAGGAAAAUAUACAAGAAUACUAUUUUUUGUCUUUAUAUUUAGAGAUACAAAUAGGAAUUCUUUAUAUAUUUUCCCUAAAAACAGAGUAAUUCUAUUAUAGAGGAAUUAUAGAGGAAAAAAAAAAUCUAUUAUAGAGGAAUA